UACGUAGGUGGCGAGCGUUGUCCGGAAUCAUUGGGCGUAAAGGGAGCGCAGGCGGGCAUGCAAGUCCAUCUUAAAAGCGCGGGGCCCAACCCCGUGAGGGGAUGGAAACUGCGUGCCUUGAGUGCAGGAGAGGAAAGCGGAAUUCCCAGUGUAGCGGUGAAAUGCGUAGAUAUUGGGAGGAACACCAGUGGCGAAGGCGGCUUUCUGGACUGCAACUGACGCUGAGGCUCGAAAGCCAGGGGAGCGAACGGG
rnacentral:rRNA from 1 species